rnacentral:rRNA from 1 species
UACGGAGGGAGCUAGCGUUGUUCGGAAUUACUGGGCGUAAAGAGCGUGUAGGCGGCCUGAAAGGUCAGCUGUGAAAACUCGAGGCUCAACCUCGAGACGUCGGUUGAAACCAUCUGGCUAGAGUCCGGAAGAGGAGUGUGGAAUUCCUGGUGUAGCGGUGGAAUGCGCAGAUAUCAGGAGGAACACCGAUGGCGAAGGCAGAUCUCUGGGCCGUAAACUGACGCUGGAGGAGCGAAAGCCGUGGGGAGCGAAACAGG